rnacentral:rRNA from 1 species
GUCUGUGGCCAUUCCUCCCUGAACGAGCCUGAUGUCUGAUCUUGGAAGCUAAGCAGGGUUAGGUCUGGUUAAUACUUAGAUGGGAGACUACCUAGGUGCUGUAGGCA